rnacentral:rRNA from 1 species
CUGGCUCAGGAUGAACGCUGGCGGCGUGCCUAAUACAUGCAAGUCGAACGAGGCGCAGCAAUGCGCCGAGUGGCGAACGGGUGAGUAACACGUAGGUAACCUGCCCCUAAGUCUGGGAUACCCAGGGGAAACCUUGGCUAAUACCGGAUAGCGGCGGAGGGGACAUCCCUUCCGCACGAAAGUCGCGUUUGCGACGCUUUCGGAUGGACCUGCGGCACAUUAGCUAGUUGGCGGGCAACGGCCCACCAAGGCGAGGAUGUGUAGCCGACCUGAGAGGGUGAACGGCCACAAUGGAACUGAGACACGGUCCAUACUCCUACGGGAGGCAGCAGUAGGGAGUUUUCGGCAAUGGGCGAAAGCCUGACCGAGCAACGCCGCGUGAAGUGAGAAGGUCUUCGGAUUGUAAAGCUCUGUUACGAGGGACGAACGGUGGGGUCAGGAAAUGGGCCCCAAUUGACGGUACCUCGCCAGAAAGUGACGGCUAACUACGUGCCAGCCGCUGC